ACCUAUUAAAAGGUUCCUGAUGGGAUCCUUUUUUAUUUUAAAGGAGAAGCCCUGUAACCGAAAAGGUGGAAAAGAUAUG
rnacentral:sRNA from 2 species